AUUGAACGCUGGCGGCAUGCCUUACACAUGCAAGUCGAACGGCAGCACGGGAGCAAUCCUGGUGGCGAGUGGCGAACGGGUGAGUAAUAUAUCGGAACGUGCCCAGUCGUGGGGGAUAACGCAGCGAAAGCUGUGCUAAUACCGCAUACGAUCUACGGAUGAAAGCGGGGGAUCGCAAGACCUCGCGCGAUUGAAGCGGCCGAUAUCAGAUUAGCUAGUGGGUGGGGUAAAGGCCCACCAAGGCGACGAUCUGUAGCUGGUCUGAGAGGACGACCAGCCACACUGGAACUGAGACACGGUCCAGACUCCUACGGGAGGCAGCAGUGGGGAAUUUUGGACAAUGGGCGCAAGCCUGAUACAGCAAUGCCGCGUGCAGGAUGAAGGCCUUCGGGUUGUAAACCGCUUUUGUACGGAACGAAACGGCCCUUUCUAAUACAAGGGGCUAAUGACGGUACCGUAAGAAUAAGCACCGGCUAACUACGUGCCAGCCGCCGCAGUAACAC
rnacentral:rRNA from 1 species